UACGUAGGGUGCAAGCGUUGUCCGGAAUUAUUGGGCGUAAAGGGCUCGUAGGCGGUCUGUCGCGUCGGCUGUGAAAACCCGGAGCUCAACUCCGGGCCUGCAGUCGAUACGGGCAAACUAGAGUACUGCAGGGGAGACUGGAAUUCCUGGUGUAGCGGUGAAAUGCGCAGAUAUCAGGAGGAACACCGGUGGCGAAGGCGGGUCUCUGGGCAGUAACUGACGCUGAGGAGCGAAAGCGUGGGGAGCGAACAGG
rnacentral:rRNA from 1 species